AGAAGGGAUGUCACCCUUCAGGUCUGGUUAGUCAACCACCUUUCAUCAGCACAACAUUUAUUUAUUUCCUGUUACUGAAAUAAAACAUAAAGCAUGCAUGUUCAAUAAUUCUCCUUUAACACUGUGCUAGAGUAACUGAACUUUUAUGGUGAUAAACAGUGAUGCAAAAUUAAUAUGGUGGGACCCAAUGUGAAAAAAAAAAGUGGUCUCAUAAUAGAUUAUAGUGCAUGCAUAUAUAUGUUCUUAUGCUACAGGCAGUGCUACUUAAGCACGUAUUGCUUAGGGCUAAAUUCUGUCAUCUUUUCACAGCUUCCUAUUCUUUAAGUUGUCUCAUCAUGUAGGGUCACAGAGUCUGACACAGAGCAAGUAGAAGUGAUGAAUUAUGAGUUUCCUUAUCAUGAUUGUCCAGAGCCUUCCAAGUUGUCACUUCAAAUUCAUCCCUUAGAGCUGGUGUGUGACAGAAAGGUCCACUACUGUACAUCAGAUUUCCUUCAGAUUUGGAGCUUUUCGGAGCUUCGAGAGUUUGAGCAGGCACCAUGGAUGACUUUGAACGCCGCAGGGAGCUCAGGAGGCAAAAGCGUGAGGAAAUGCGCCUUGAAGCAGAGAGACAAUAUGUCAACUCCUUUUGGAGCAGUGGCACACUGGAAGGAAGGAGGCAUAGUACUUAAGUGUGCAGUAUCUCUGAAACAGUCACCUGCUUUUCUAUAAG
ensembl:lncRNA